rnacentral:rRNA from 1 species
GACGAACGCUGGCGGCGUGCUUAACACAUGCAAGUCGAACGGAAAGGCCCUGCUUUUGUGGGGUGCUCGAGUGGCGAACGGGUGAGUAACACGUGAGUAACCUGCCCUUGACUUUGGGAUAACUUCAGGAAACUGGGGCUAAUACCGGAUAGGAGCUCCUGAUGCAUGGUGGGGGUUGGAAAGUUUCGGCGGUUGGGGCUGGACUCGCGGCUUAUCAGCUUGUUGGUGGGGUAGUGGCUUACCAAGGCUUUGACGGGUAGCCGGCCUGAGAGGGUGACCGGCCACAUUGGGACUGAGAUACGGCGCAGACUCGUACGGGAGGCAGCAGUGGGGAAUAUUGCACAGUGGGCGGAAGCCUGAUGCAGCAACGCCGCGUGCGGGAUGACGUCCUUCGGGUUGUAAACCGCUUUCGCCGGUGACGAAGCGUGAGUGACGGUAAUGGGUAAAGAAGCACCGGCUAACUACGUG